CGCGUAUGCAACCUACCCAUAACAGGGGCAUAACACUGAGAAAUUGGUACUAAUUCCCCAUAACAUUCGAAGAGGCAUCUCUUUGGGUUGAAAACUCCGGUGGUUAUGGAUGGGCAUGCGUUGUAUUAGCUAGUUGGUGAGGUAACGGCUCACCAAGGCGACGAUACAUAGGGGGACUGAGAGGUUAACCCCCCACAUUGGUACUGAGACACGGACCAAACUCCUACGGGAGGCAGCAGUGAGGAAUAUUGGUCAAUGGACGCAAGUCUGAACCAGCCAUGCCGCGUGCAGGAUGACGGCUCUAUGAGUUGUAAACUGCUUUUGUACGAGGGUAAACUCACCUACGUGUGGGUGACUGAAAGUAUCGUACGAAUAAGGAUCGGCUAACUCCGUGCCAGCAGCCGCGGUAAUACGGAGGAUUCAAGCGUUAUCCGGAUUUAUUGGGUUUAAAGGGUGCGUAGGCGGUUAGAUAAGUUAGAGGUGAAAUCCCGGGGCUUAACUCCGAAAUUGCCUCUAAUACUGUUUGACUAGAGAGUAGUUGCGGUAGGCGGAAUGUAUGGUGUAGCGGUGAAAUGCUUAGAGAUCAUACAGAACACCGAUUGCGAAGGCAGCUUACCAAACUAUAUCUGACGUUGAGGCACGAAAGCGUGGGGAGCAAACAGGAUUAGAUACCCUGGUAGUCCACGCAGUAAACGAUGAUAACUCGCUGUCGGCGAUACACAGUCGGUGGCUAAGCGAAAGCGAUAAGUUAUCCACCUGGGGAGUACGUUCGCAAGAAUGAAACUCAAAGGAAUUGACGGGGGCCCGCACAAGCGGAGGAACAUGUGGUUUAAUUCGAUGAUACGCGAGGAACCUUACCCGGGCUUGAAAGUUAGCGACGGAUCUGGAAACAGGUCUUCCCUUCGGGGCGCGAAACUAGGUGCUGCAUGGUUGUCGUCAGCUUGUGCCGUGAGGUGUCGGGUUAAGUCCCAUAACGAGCGCAACCCCUACCGUUAGUUGCCAUCAGGUGAAGCUGGGCACUCUGGCGGGACUGCCGGUGUAAGCCGAGAGGAAGGUGGGGA
rnacentral:rRNA from 1 species